UACGUAGGUGGCAAGCGUUACUCGGAAUCACUAGGCGUAAAGCGCAGGUAGGCGGUUUGAUAAGUCUGUUGUGAAAGCUCCCGGCUUAACUGGGAGAGGUCAACGGAAACUAUCAGACUAGAGGUAUGCAGGGGAGAAUGGAAUUCCUGGUGUAGCGGUGAAAUGCGCAGAUAUCAGGAGGAACACCGGUGGCGAAGGCGGUUCUCUGGGCAUUACCUGACGCUGAGGAGCGAAAGUGUGGGGAGCGAACAGG
rnacentral:rRNA from 1 species